CCUACGGGGGGCUGCAGUGGGGAAUAUUGGACAAUGGGGGAAACCCUGAUCCAGCAAUGCUGCGUAUGUGAAGAAGGCCUGCGGGUUGUAAAGCACUUUCGGUUGGGAAGAAAAGUUUGGCGCCAAUACCGCCGAACCUUGACGUUACUGACAGAAGAAGCACCGGCUAACUCUGUGCCAGCAGCCGCGGUAAUACAGAGGGUGCUAGCGUUAAUCGGAACCAGUGGGCGUAGAGAGUGCGUACGUGGUUGAAAUCCCCGGGCUUAACCUGGGAACUGCAUUCGAUACUACAUGGCUAGAGUAUGGUAGAGGGAAGUGGAAUUUCCGGUGUAGCGGUGAAAUGCGUAGAUAUCGGAAGGAACACCAAUGGCGAAGGCAGCUUCCUGGACUAAUACUGACACUGAGGCACGAAAGCGUGGGUAGCAAACAGGAUUAGAUACCCCAGUAGUC
rnacentral:rRNA from 1 species